CGGGGCGUGGCUCAGCUGGUUAGAGCGCUCGGUUCGGGACCGAGAGGUCGCUGGUUCAAAUCCAGUCGCCCCGACCA
rnacentral:tRNA from 1 species